rnacentral:rRNA from 1 species
UACGAAGGGGGCUAGCGUUGUUCGGAAUUACUGGGCGUAAAGCGCACGUAGGCGGACAGUUAAGUUGGAGGUGAAAGCCUUGGGCUCAACCCAAGAAUUGCCUUUGAUACUGGAUGUCUCGAGACCGGGAGAGGUGAGUGGAAUUCCGAGUGUAGAGGUGAAAUUCGUAGAUAUUCGGAAGAACACCAGUGGCGAAGGCGGCUCACUGGCCCGGUUCUGGCGCUGAGGUGCGAAAGCGUGGGGAGCAAACAGG